GAUGAAGAACGUAGCGAAAUGCGAUAAGUAGUGUGAAUUGCAGAAUUCAGUGAAUCAUCGAAUCUUUGAACGCACAUUGCGCCCCUUGGUAUUCCAUGGGGCAUGCCUGUUCGAGCGUCAUAUGUACCUUCAAGCUCUGCUUGGUGUUGGGCGUUUGUCAGUUUGACUCGCCUUAAAGUAAUUGGCAGCCGGCCUACUGGUUUCGGAGCGCAGCACAAGUCGCACUCUCUAUCAGCAAAGGUCUAGCAUCCAUUAAGCCUUUUUUUCAACUUUUGACCUCGGAUCAGGUAGGGAUACCCGCUGAACUUAAGCAUAUCAAUAAGCGGAGGA
rnacentral:misc_RNA from 1 species